AACGAACGCUGGCGGCAUGCCUAACACAUGCAAGUCGAACGAGACCUUCGGGUCUAGUGGCGCACGGGUGCGUAACGCGUGGGAACCUGCCCUUAGGUUCGGCAUAACUCCCCGAAAGGGGUGCUAAUACCGGAUAAUGUCUUCGGACCAAAGAUUUAUCGCCUUUGGAUGGGCCCGCGUUGGAUUAGCUAGUUGGUAGGGUAAAAGCCUACCAAGGCGACGAUCCAUAGCUGGUCUGAGAGGAUGAUCAGCCACACUGGGACUGAGACACGGCCCAGACUCCUACGGGAGGCAGCAGUGGGGAAUAUUGGACAAUGGGCGAAAGCCUGAUCCAGCAAUGCCGCGGGAGUGAUGAAGGCCUUAGGGUUGUAAAGCUCUUUUACCCGGGAUGAUAAUGACAGUACCGGGAGAAUAAGCUCCGGCUAACUCCGUG
rnacentral:rRNA from 1 species